UGCUCUUACCUCUCAGGAAGGAAAGGGGGAGGUGGGAGGUGGUGGGGAAGCCACUGUGGUGCAAAUGCGCCAGCAGGAGCCCCAGGGUGGAUUUGCUGGUGCAUUUGUACCAUGCUAACUUCCCUGUCACCUCAUCCCUCCUUCCUGGGAAGCACCAGAGA